GAUGAACGCUGGCGGCGUGCCUAAUACAUGCCAGUCGAGCGAACAGACGAGGAGCUUGCUCCUCUGACGUUAGCGGCGGACGGGUGAGUAACACGUGGAUAACCUACCUAUAAGACUGGGAUAACUUCGGGAAACCGGAGCUAAUACCGGAUAAUAUAUUGAACCGCAUGGUUCAAUAGUGAAAGACGGUUUUGCUGGCACUUAUAGAUGGAUCCGCGCCGCAUUAGCUAGUUGGUAAGGUAACGGCUUACCAAGGCAACGAUGCGUAGCCGACCUGAGAGGGUGAUCGGCCACACUGGAACUGAGACACGGUCCAGACUCCUACGGGAGGCAGCAGUAGGGAAUCUUCCGCAAUGGGCGAAAGCCUGACGGAGCAACGCCGCGUGAGUGAUGAAGGUCUUCGGAUCGUAAAACUCUGUUAUUAGGGAAGAACAAAUGUGUAAGUAACUAUGCACGUCUUGACGGUACCUAAUCAGAAAGCCACGGCUAACUACGUG
rnacentral:rRNA from 1 species